rnacentral:rRNA from 1 species
GACGAACGCUGGCGGCGUGCUUAACACAUGCAAGUCGAACGAUGAAGCUGGAGCUUGCUCCGGUGGAUUAGUGGCGAACGGGUGAGUAACACGUGAGCAAUCUGCCCUUGACUCUGGGAUAACUGCGGGAAACUGUAGCUAAUACCGGAUACGAGGCUCGAAGGCAUCUUCGGGUCUGGAAAGAAUUUCGGUCAAGGAUGAGCUCGCGGCCUAUCAGCUUGUUGGUGAGGUAAUGGCUCACCAAGGCGAAGACGGGUAGGCGGCCUGAGAGGGUGACCGGCCACACUGGGACUGAGACACGGCCCAGACUCCUACGGGAGGCAGCAGUGGGGAAUAUUGCACAAUGGGCGAAAGCCUGAUGCAGCAACGCCGCGUGAGGGAUGAAGGCCUUCGGGUUGUAAACCUCUUUUAGCAGGGAAGAAGCGAAAGUGACGGUACCUGCAGAAAAAGCACCGGCUAACUACGUGCCAGCCGCCGCAGUAA